rnacentral:lncRNA from 1 species
AAAUUUUAUUAACAUCUUAACCAUAAAUAGUUCUCACUUUAAAUGAGGUCACAGGAAGUCUGAAAAUGUCAUUAAGUGCUUUAAAACAUCCUUUAUUCAACAUUAAUUGCAUUUGUAUUCAGUGUUCCUCACAAUUUUUAAAAAUAAAUUAAGCUUAUCCUCAAAGCUAAACAAAACCUCUUUAAAAAAGUAAAUAACAUAAUGCUCUCAAUAUGACAUACAAACACUAUUUAUGGUUAAUAAUUUGUUAACAAGUAUUAUAUAACGGUUUACAUAUGAGCAAAUGAAACAAUAACACUUUGUUGCUAACUUAGUGAGGCUUCCUCCACAACUGCCUGCCGUGCAUGGUUGUCUUGUUGCCAAAGUUACCUAGUGGGUGGUCUGCAUCCCACUUUUUUCUUCUUCCUUUGGCCACUGUACAGGAUUGCACUGUGGAGGAUAACACAAGUAUACACAAACAUUUGAGCUAAUGUUUUUGAGCUAGUUAGGACAAGCACAAGAACAGGGACUAAUUAUUGAACCACUCCAACAAGACAUUUUUGUGAUGCUUAACAUACAUUUCCAGCAAAAUUUCAUUUUUGGUCAUUUCAUUUUUUCAUUUUAAGUUUAAGUGCACAAGCAAAAUUAAAAUAAUCUAAUAAAAUAAAUAAAUAAUAAUAAUAAUAAAAACUUUCUCUGUAGUGCUGUUCAAUAAGAGAGAUGCACGAGCUCGUGAGCAAGUGUCACUCCGUCGCGUGGGAUGAAUCGCACUGACGUCACUCAGUGACUCAACCGCUCAUCCUUAGUAAAAGUAACGCAGCUGUGAGUAACAACUCCUCUAGUCUCGGCUCAUCAGUUAUUAAUUCCUGAUGGAGGGUACAUGUUCAUAUGGCGGUGUUACAGGUGGAGGAAGGCUCUAUGGAGGGUUCUUGAAGGAAUUUAAACUGCGCAAUUCUUCCUCAUUAGCUCAUACACACAGAGAUCGGUUUUCAGCUCAUAUCACAGAAACAAAACAUCAUGAAAACGUCUUUAUGAAAAU